GAGAGUCUGACGGAUAAGAGCAAGCUGGAUGUUCAGCCUGAGCUUUUCAUCAGGUUUUCCCGAUAAGACCAACAAUACUCUCCAUUAUUGAUAGCGGAAUCGGAAUGACCAAAGCAGUGUGCCCUAACCAAAUGAUGCCCAUGUGUAAUAAGCAAAGGCAUCUAGACAGGAAUGUGGAAGAAAAUAGAACAUGGCAGCAUUGCAAGAUGCACUACCACAUCCUCCAGGAACCGACGCAUCAUCCUCAAAACCUCUUCACUACCUUGACAAACUGGAGGUAAUCUGAAUCAAAGUGAAUCGGACCCAAUCCUCUAGAUGAAGCAAAAACGUUGUUGCCAGACGUGCAACUAAAACUUGAACCAUCAAUGGAGAGUAGACUCGAGCAGCAACCUGGACACAAAUGCCUCCAACAAUCAAAACCAGCAGUCACGAAAAAGUCCUACUUUCUCUGUACCUUAUUUAGAUCUUCAAAUUUCGUAUCAUACCAUAUAAACUAUAUACGUAAUACGUGUCAUUAGUCAUUAAACCAUAGAAUCAACUAAACUUAUAUAUAUCGACCAACCCACUACGAUGUAAAUCAUCAUGUAUUAAGCAUGCUUAACAUUUCAGUUGUUAACACAAAAAUACGGCUGCUCUCCAGUUACUGAAACUAGGCAUCAGUUAUGAGUUAGAAUAUAUUUCUCAUGCAAAUUAAAUUUG